GACGUAGGGCGCGAGCGUUGUCCGGAAUUAUUGGGCGUAAAGGGCUCGUAGGCGGUUUGUCGCGUCGGGAGUGAAAACCAGGUGCUUAACACCUGGCUUGCUUUCGAUACGGGCAGACUAGAGGUAUUCAGGGGAGAACGGAAUUCCUGGUGUAGCGGUGAAAUGCGCAGAUAUCAGGAGGAACACCGGUGGCGAAGGCGGUCUCUGGGCAGUGAACUGACGUGGAGGAGCGAAAGCGUGGGGAGCGAACAGGAAUUAGAUACCCCGAG
rnacentral:rRNA from 1 species